GGGGGGUGGCAAGCGUUGUUCGGAAUUACUGGGCGUAAAGGGCUCGUAGGUGGCCAACUAAGUCAGACGUGAAAUCCCUCGGCUUAACCGGGGAACUGCGUCUGAUACUGGAUGGCUUGAGAUUGGGAGAGGGAUGCGGAAUUCCAGGUGUAGCGGUGAAAUGCGUAGAUAUCUGGAGGAACACCGGUGGCGAAGGCGGCAUCCUGGACCAACACUGACGCUGAGGAGCGAAAGCCAGGGGAGCAAACGGGAUUAGAUACCCCGGUAGUCCUGGCCCUAAACGAUGAAUGCUUGGUGUGGCGGGUAUCGAUCCCUGCCGUGCCGAAGCUAACGCAUUAAGCAUUCCGCCUGGGGAGUACGGUCGCAAGGCUG
rnacentral:rRNA from 1 species